GGGCAGUACCCGGCGGCUCCACCACUUGAGAGGCUUUUCCUAGCUUACUCUCAGGCGGCGGGGCCGAAACAGGAUCGACACGCGCAGUAAAGGCAUUGGACGGCGUCCGGCAUUGUAUCCGCCGUUAUCGGGCUAAAUUUACAAAUGCAAACGAUAACUUUGCGUUCGUAGCCGCUAACGACAACUCUGUUGUCGAAGGCGCAGGUCGCAUUGCUGCCUAAUCGGGCAGUAGCGAUGCUACACUUGAAUCCCUGAUUGUCUAACCACAUUCAGGUGGGGCUUUGGGGUCUGCGCCUCGCAACAGAAGCAGGCCCCU
rnacentral:tmRNA from 1 species